GGGCUCUCUCCGGCAGCACAUAUACUAAAAUUGGAACGAUACAGAGAAGAUGAGCAUGACCCCUGUGCAAGGAAAUAAGUAUUUUAAUUUUUU
ensembl:snRNA U6 U6 spliceosomal RNA